GAUGAAGAACGUAGCGAAAUGCGAUAAGUAAUGCGAAUUGCAGAAUUCAGUGAAUCAUCGAAUCUUUGAACGCACAUUGCGCCCGCUAGUAUUCUGGCGGGCAUGCCUGUCUGAGCGUCAUUUCAACCCUCGCCCCCGGCUUUUGCUGGGAGCGGUGUUGGGGAUCGGCCGCCCGUCACUGGGAGGCCGGCCCCGAAAUAGAGUGGCGACCACGCCGUGUGCUCCUCUGCGUAGUAGUAAAUCACCUCGCAGGCGGACAGCGGUGCGGCCUGCCGUAAAACCCCCAACUCUUGCUGGUUGACCUCAGAUCAGGUAGGAAUACCCGCUGAACUUAAGCAUAUCAAUAAGCGGAGGA
rnacentral:misc_RNA from 1 species